rnacentral:lncRNA from 1 species
CACACCCCAACCCCUCACAGAGCUUCCCACUACACAGCUCGGUGCUCAGCACUCUUCCAGACAUCGCCCUAUUUAUCUCUUCAUCAGGCUUUUCACUUCUUAUCCUUUAUAAUAAACCAGUGAUUCCAAUUAACUCAGAAAGUGUCAACUUCUGUAUCUACAUCAAUGACACCCAAAUAUGUAUCUCUAGCCUGACAUAGCUCAAGCGGCUCCAGUGCAGGAGACAGAGGGAGCCUGGAAUCCAAAGAAGAGAGCUCCAACCAGCAUAGAGUUGUCAACAGUGCAAGCUGCUGAAAAGAGGACAAGGAAGAUAUUAUCCCUCCACGCCAACCAGCAUGCACUUCUCAACCAGCCUUACUGCCUAUAAACUACCGCUGUUUUGACUGUCAGCUAAAUGAUGAAAGCCUGAGAGAGGGCAUUUUAUUAGUGGCAUAGUCAGAUGCAGCUGUGCUCUAAGACCAUCCUCUGAAAAUGCCUGGGAGAAACUAUUUCCUUCUCAUUGACAAUUACUAAAAAUGGUCAUUCGUUGGCCAGGUCCACUAAACAGUGCAUACGUUGAUCAGAGUUAUUUUGUUUGAAAUUAGUGUGCUGUACAGAAAGCUUUGUCUUGCAUGAACCUGUGUUUUGAUAAAACAGAGACCUUGGGCAUUAGCAGAUAGGAGGAUGGGUGACAGUUUACCACUAACUUUAAACAGGUUCAAAGGUAAAUACCAUAUUUUGUUAAUUUUCAUAUUCAUUAAAGAUCUAAAUAUUGAGAAGUUUGCUUGAGGAUUAAGUAUCUUCCAACCAGGGGCACCAAGGUGAGGACACUUUAAACUAGAUAUACCUGGGCUACAGCACUGAAAAGUAGGGCCUAUGAGGGUGGGGGAUUUUGUGUCUUGUUUGUUGCUGUAUUCCCAGAGCCUGGAACACUGCUGAGUAUAUAACAGGCACUAAAUAAAUACUUCUAAAUGAAUGAA